AUGUCUUCACACCGCCAUUGCUGUUGCGCCCAUAACGCAAGCUCCGGUGCCGCCGCGAUGUUGGUCCGCGAAGAGGAUGCAAACACUAUAGCUCUGAACUCCAUGCCAGACAUUGCUCUCAUUCUGUUGCUAUUGGUGUGGAGCGCCGAGGACGCAUGUCCCAUGGCCGCCGGUUCUUCCAGUCAGGGGAUGCGAAAUCUGCCACCAUCGUUUCUCUCUGUGCGCCGCAAUAAAACUGCAACCUUCAUUGUAGGACAAGUUCUACCUGAAUCUCAUGGUUUGUCUUCACAUAAUGUUCUCUUAGUCGGUUUGCAGCAUGCAGCAAGAGAAGCCCCAGUUGUAGUCAUAAAUUGCUUGGAAAAAUGCAACAUCGAUGCUAGAAUCCUGACGAGACUAUGA
rnacentral:rRNA from 1 species